CUGUCUGAUUAAUCAUAAAAAUUGCUCUCCAAAGAGGUAUACUGGAAACAUCCGGAUGUGAGGUUAUGAUUACAAAUGAAAGCAAAGUAGUAUCCUUAAAAGAAGUGACACUCUCAAUUCAAGCGCACUAAAUAGCUGAUCAUGAAAGUGAAAACGCUGGCAUCUGUAGAUACCCGGAGUUCUUGGGUGUUGGACUUCAUCACUGACCAUCUGG
rfam:Echinops telfairi cont1.127315, whole genome shotgun sequence.